GCGGAGCUAAGGGGGCGGCGCCUGCCUGUGCAGCCCGCUCGCUGGCGCGUGGCUCUCACAAUGUUAAAGAAGUUUGAGUUUAAGGUGGACUUAGAGAUCGAGGCGCUCUCUUCUGUACCCUACGUCAAUGGAAUCCUCUUCUGCAAGAUGGGGCUGCUAGACAGCAGCAGCUUCACCAGGGAGUCCUCCAGGUAAGGCGCCCUCCGGGCCUCCUGCUCCUCCUUAGCUGCCACGCCCCCUGCGCAGCCUUGGCUGGUUCUUGGACAGCAUCCCUUUGUCCAGCCCGACAGCCAGCCUCCUGAACUCGCUGUCCUCCAGAGACCGGUCUGAAACCAGUCAGGAAUGUAUGGAUCAGCACAAAGUGCUUCGCAAAUGGGUUUAUCUAGGCUGGCCUUGGCUUCUACGUUCCUGGCUCCAAAUGGUUCCUGGUGACAGCUCUUUCCUCCCAAUUCUCUAGGAAUGGGAGAGAUGGCCAAAGGGAGAGAGAGGAUGCUUCUUGUUUUCCUUAAGAAGCAUCAAGUGCUUCUUACAAAGUGGAAUUGGAACUGUUGUUUAAAAAAAAUGACCCCGGCUGCUCGAGUUCCGAGAAUCUGCGCUGAACAGCCUGUGCUUGGUGUCACUUUUCUUUCUGGUGGGCUAGGAGGGAUUUUUGCACGCCCAGAUUGAGGCUGAGGUAGGCCAGGUCAGCCUUAAUUUAAGGCAAGUGUUCCUAGCAGAUGAGGCAACAGUCCAUGAGACUGUAGAUUGCACCUCCAGCUCCAAGCUAAUGCUCAUCAAAUUACCUGUCUUGAAGUGACCACUGUGAGUCUCAAUGUGCGGGACUUAGAACCAGGAGGGAAGCCCAAACUCUGUGCUCAUUUUGAAAUGAGCCUCUCCCUGUGUGCCCUGUGCACUCUCUGGGAGAGACAUUAGUAGGUCCCAGAAUGCAGCCAGGUGUGGCAAUGUUCCUUGAGUAAUUUCAGCGUUAUUCACAGAUUGAUAGAUUUGCCCUAGGGUGUUUUUUCUUUUCAAGAAAAUAGAAAACAACAACAAAAAAAAGUUUAUAACUGAAUUUUUGAGUUCUUGAGGUCAAAGAGAAGGGUUAAUAAUCUUUGUUUAACCCACAUUUAGUGGUCACAAACUUUAUUUUUACACUAAAACUAUUGUACUUUCUUUUUUAUCUGUCAUCCCAUUAAAAUUGUAAAGGAAAUAAUGUCAAUGGAUUGUGGAAUUGGAGCCAGAAAAUUGUCCAUUGUGGUAAUAUUGAAGUCUAUGGGAGCCCGAUAAUGUCUGGUUGGAUAAACCAAAGGAUGUGUAAAGCACUAUAUUGAUUCUCAAAAUUAAUAAAUAGUCCACUGAGGAUAAUUUUAAAAAUUAAAUUUUGGUAACAAAUCUGAGGAUAUUCAGCUAAUUAAUUAUAGUACAUAAUUUUUAGCACACCUGUAAAAGAAUACUGAAAUACUAUAAUAUUUCAAAUAAUAUGUGUGUGUGUGUGUGUGUGUGUGUGUGUAAUACCAGCUCCCAAGGUAGGGAAAAGCCUAUAUCAAUUCCGAAUGUACUGUAUGUGAAAGUGACAGUCUUGUUUUGCUGCUAGGUUCUACCCCCUGCCUGGAGCAGUUAGGUGAAUACUCCUGGCCCAAUGGUGACACCUGGUGGUCAGGACACUUGUUGGCUACCUUCUUAAGUCAGUUAUUUAGUCAUUGCAGGCAAACAUGUCCACUAGGCUUUUUGAAUAUUAUUAUUAUUAUUAUUAUUAUUAUUAUUAUUUUGGUACCGGAGCUUGAACUCAGGAGUACUGGACCACUGAGCCACAUCCCCAGCCCUAUUUUGUAUUUUAUAUUUAUAGACAGGGUCUGGCUGAAUUGCUUAGCGCCUCACCAUUGCUGAGGCUGGCUUUGAACUCACAAUCCUCCUGAAAUAUACUAUCCUAUUUAAUUCUCACAGCAAGCCUAGGGAUCCACAUUUUGUGAAUAAAUGAUUCAAAGUCUCCACAGAUGUUAUGUGUAAUGCCGAGAUUCUGAUACAGGUGUAAUGUCAAACAGGGUGAUGCCAGAUAAAGGGGGAAAGUGUGUUCUGUGCUGAAGUGUUUCUAAAUAGGCAACUUCCUAAUGGUUUUAAGGUGCAGUAGGUAUCAUUUGAUUUGUCCUCUGCAAGACUUGGAAAUGAAAAACUAUCCUGUGAUAAGCUUCACCCUUUCUCUUCCAACUAAAAUCUGGCUUUAAUCAAGGUAAACACAGGUAAAGUAAGCAUAUUGCUUGAUUUUUUGUUCAUUUUUUUACCUUUUAGGCUGAGCAGAGAAUGAGAAAAGUCUGAUUCUUGAUUUAUUUCCCCCUUGUUCCUCAAUUCUUUUAAAAAUUUAAUUUUUUUUUUCAGAAUAUUAUGUAGUUGGAAUCGAACAGUUUGGAGCCCUUUCAGACUGGUGUCUUUUGCUUAGUAAUGUGCAUCUAAGCUUCCUCCAUGUCUUUUCAUGGCUUCCUAACUUUUUUUAGUGCUUAAUAAUAUUCUGUUAUCUAGAAUUCAAUUCAUUUGUUUUCAUCAGAACAUCUUUAUUGCUUUCAAGUUUGGGCAGUUAUGAGUAAAGAAGCUAUAAACAUGCAUAGUUAGGGUUUUAUAUGGAUAUGUUUUCAAUUCACUGGAUUAAAUACCAGAGAACAUGACUGCUGGACCACAUGGUGAAAAUGUAGUCCAUGCUUUAUAAAGGUGAAUGGUUCACUGGAGGCCAAUAAUUAAUAUUCUGCUUUGUAAACAUGUAACUUAAGGUCAAAAAAGUUAAAUGACUUACUCAAGUAUUAUACUAGUAAUAAGUGAUAGAGCAGGUCUAAACUUUGGGUUUUCUCCCUACUGGUCCAAGACUUUUUACUGUCUUAUGUGGCUUCCUCAUUACAUGACAGAGAAAAAGUUUAGAUUUCUUACCCAGAGGUCUAAGUCUAAAAUUAUCACACAGCUCAAAAAAGACUGCAGUAAUGUCAUACCUAGAACUGGGUGGGGAAAAAGGUACAAGCUAGAAAAGUAUAAUAUUUUAAGACCUUCAAGAGUGAUGAGGAUAUUAAAGUUUCAAAUAAACCCAAGUGUUUUAUUUAUGUUUAAAACUUGUUAAGUCGAUAGUGAAAUAGCAACUUACAGGAGGAAUGAAAAUACUUACAAAUCCCAUAUCCCAUAGGGUUUAAUAUCCGGAGUUGGGCUGGGUUUGUGGAUCAGUGGGAGGGCACUUGCCUAGCAUGUGUGAGGCACUGGGUUCAAUUUUAAGCACCACGUAGAAAAAUAAAUAAAAUAAAGUUAUUAUGUCCAAUUAUAACUAAAAAUGUUUUUUUAAAAAAUACCCAAAGUAAUGGGCUGGGGUUGUAGCUCAGCGGUAGAGUGCUUGCCUAUCAUGUGUGAGGCCCUGCAUCACAUAAAAAUAAAUAAGUAAAAUUAAGGUAUGUGUCGAACUACAACUAAAAAAUAAUUUUUUUAAAAAUCCAAAGUAAAUAAAGAACUCCUUCAACUCAACAACAAUAAAUUUUGAUUAACAAAUGGGCAAAGGAUUUCUCCAAAGAAGUUGCACAAAUGACCAAUAAGCACAAGAUGUACAGCAUCACUUAUCAUUAGGGAAAUGAAAAUCAAAACUACAAUUAGGUUACCAACAAUAAAAAUUAAAAAAAAAAAAAACAACUACAAUUAGGAACCACCUCACACCCAUUAGGAUUGGCUACUAUUCAAAAAUAAUAAUAAUAAUAACAAAUGUUGACAAGGGAAUGGAAAAAUAGGAACCUUCUUGUGUUGUUGGUCGGGUAAUAUAAAAUAGUGCAGCCACUAUGGAAAACAGUAUGGCAGUUGAUGAAGAAACUUAAUAAGCAAUUCCACUUUGGGGUAUAAGUACCCAAAAGAAUUGAUAACAAAAACCAAACAGGUAUUUGGACACCCAUGCUCCUAGCAUUAUUUGCAGUAGCCAAAGGUGUAAGUAUUUUAAGUGUCCAUCAAAGGUUGAAUGGAUAAACAAAAUUUGGCAUACACACAUAGAGUAGAAUAGUAUUCAUCCUUAAAAAGGAAGGGAAUUCUGAUACAUCAUUAAUGACAUUUAAGGAUAUGUUGCUAUGUGAACUAAGGACAAAUACUGUGUAAUUCUACUUAACAUUAGUUAAUCUGACCCAGAGUAGUAAGAUUCAUAGAGAAAGAAAGUUAGAUUGGUGAUUGCCAGGGAAUGAAUAGUGGAAUAGGGAGUUGCUUAAUGGAAAUGGAGUUUUGGUUUUGUAAGAUAAAGAGUUCUGAAGAUUGGGCACACAACUGCGUGACUGUAAUUAAGCCACUGAUCUGAACUGUACACUUAAAAAUGGUUGUGAUGGAGAGUGUUAUGUGUAUUCUACCAUUAAUUUAAAAAAUGAGUAAAUAUUUUGACCAAGCUCCAUAUUUUUAUAAGGCUAACUUAUGUGUUAUUAUAUUCAAGUAAACUACAUGAGUGUUAAAAAGAAUUUUCUUUUGAUGAGUCCAGUCAGUCACUCUAAUAACUAAUAUGAUUUAGUAGACAUAUAGCUUAGGAUUAUACAGUGAUUAAUUUUUAUUUGACAUUUUUGGAAAGUUCCUCCAUCAUAGUAUAACUGUUUAACUCUGAGGCAUUGCCAAGUUGUUUUUCAAGAGGCUGCACUAGGAAAAGGUUUCUUGACAGAAACAUGAGUGCAAGCAAAUGUCUUCAGAUUGGCUGGGUUUUGGGGGCUCAGGGUUCUACAAAAUUUAGAUUUCAAUACAAGGUCAUGGUAAAACAUGUGAAUUUCAAUGCCAGGACUCUGAUGAUACAAGAGGGGAACAUGGAAGGUGCCUACAGGACCCUCAGCAGAAUCCUCACCAUGGAUGGGCACUGAGGACAUGAAGCUAUAGUGGUGCUGUGAUGUGCCUGGCCUUCUGUGAAGACAGGGAAACUAUGAAACUGCUGGUGGAUCUGCAAAGUGAAAAUGGCUCCAAAAAUCAAUUUCUUUUUUAUCACUCCCCAGUACGGGGACUGGAACCCAGGAGCAUUCUACCUCUGAACUGCAUCCCCAACCCCUUUUACAAACUUUAUUUUGAGACAGGGUCUUGCUAAGCUGCCCAGGUUUUUCUGUUUUUGUUUUUUUUUUUCUUUUUUUUCAGCACUCGGGAUUGAACUCAGGUGCGCUCAACCACCAAGUCUCAUCCCCAGCCUUUUUUUUUUUUUUUGUAUUUUAUUUAGAGACAAGGUCUCACUGAGUUGCUUAGCCCCUUGCUUUUGCUGAGGCUGGAUUUGAAUUUGCAAUCCUCCUGCCUCAGCCUCCCAGGCUGGUGGGAUUACAGGCAUGUGCCACAGCACCAGGUGGAAGGACAAUUUCUUGAUGUGAAAUAAUCAGGCAGAUCUGUGGCAGGGCUGCUUAAGCCUGUGGAUAGAGAUCCAUAUGUUUAGUUUUUGUCUCCACCUCUUUUUUCCCCUAUUUUCUGUUACCUGUCCUUACAAUACACUCAAUCAUGUAUGUGCAGCAAGGCCUGUAAAUAUAGACAUCACCCAUUAUUAAGUGGUGGACCUCUCUUACUAAGUGAAAAAGAAACAGUCCAAAAGUACUCUAGGAGUAGAGUGGAGGUUGCCAGGGACUGGGAGUUAUCUUUAUUAAGGGUGAAAAGUUGCAAUUUGCCAAGAUGGAAAUGUUCUGAAGAUGGUUGGUGGUUAUGGUUGUACAACUGUGAAUGUACCCAAUGUCAUGAAACUGUAGAAUUCUAGUUAAAUAUUAAAUUUUGUGAGUAUUUUACUAAUACACACACACACACAUAUAUGUGUGUGUGUGUGUAUUAAAUAAGUCUGAUUCAGAAAGUCAAGGUUGAAUGUUUUCUCUCAUAGAAGGAAGCUUGACCAAAGAAAGGGGAAAAAGUGGGGGAGGAAUCCUGUGAAAAUAGAAGGGAGAUCAGUGGAGCAAAGGAUGGGGAGGGAGGAGGAAUGGGAAAGGAGAGGAACAAUGGAAUGAAAUUGACCAAAUUAUGCUAUGUACAUGUGAAUGCACCACAGUGAAUUUGACCUUUAUGUUUAUAUAUAAAGAACUAAAAUUUAAAAUUAUAAAUAAAUAGAAGGAAGACCAUUAGAGUAGAAGGGAAAUAGGAGGAGGGAGAAGGAGAGGAAAAAGGGAAGUACUGGGGACUGAAGUGGAGCAAAUUUUAUUCCAUGAUAUAUAAUUAUGUCAAAAUGAGCCCCACUAUUAUGUGUAACUAUAAUAUACUAAUAAAACAUUCAGAAGUAAACACAUAUGCUGUGUUGAUGAAGAUUUACUACUGAUAUACCACUCUUUAAAAUGCCUUUUUUUAAAUUGAUUUUUUUAUAGGACAGCGGAAUACAUUACAAUUCAUAUUACACUUACAGAGAAAAUUUUCAUAUCUCUUGUUGUAUAUAAAAUAUAUUUACACCAAUUUGUGUUUUCAUACAUGUACUUUGGAUAAUGAUAUGCAAACAUAAGUCAAAUGUUAUUCAAGUCAAAAUGUCUGACUUUCUGUGAUCUCAUUUUUCCCUUUUCUGGUUGAAUCCUAUCACUCCUAUUUCAAAACUUAGCUUACAUACCACUUUUUCUAAGUAGUGUUUUCUAAUUUCUCAGCUAGAAUUAACAGUUCCAUUUUUUUCUUUGAAAUUACACUUAACCAGUAAGGGGGAAGAGCAUAUGACUCAGUAAAUCCCAAAGGUAUAUAUGCUAGAGAAAUGAAAAUAAAAUGUUCACAUAGUCACAGUUGACAUGUUUGUCUCCAACACUGGAACAUCGGCUUGAAAGGAGUGUUGUCUUGUAUAUCUAAGGAUUCUGGUUUCCUGAGUACUCAGAAGCCUGGAAUCAAAAAGAUGAUCAAUAAAAAGCUGGUUGCACUACUUUUAUUAAUUGCAAUAAAUGCAGUAGCAAAUGAAGUAAAUGCAAAUGCAUUUAAAAAGAUUUUCUUUCAGUCUUCUUAUUAGUAAAGGUAAAUGCACAAAUGUGAUUAUGAGGUGGUAAUUAGAAAACUAUGUCUAUAUUUCAAUGUCUAUAUCAUAGAUAUAUAGAUAUAGUAUCUAUAUAGCUAUAUAAUUUUAUGUAUCUAAUAUAUAUGUGUGUGUGUGCCGCAGUCCGGCUGCAGCAAAAUAACCGGGGGGCAACGAGCAACUUGUGUAGAUUGAUACAGCUGGAGUGGGAGCCGUUUAUUGUAGGACAGGAGUGGUAUAUAUACAUUCCACACAGCUUAUCUUAAUUAACAUAAACUAGAUACAGCAGUCAACCAAUAAGGAAUCUCCACACUUAAUGGCUCCCUGGCGUUACUUCACAAACCACUCCCUCUGGCAAAAUGCCAGGCACCAUCCAGACUUGUUUACAGACUCUAACAUUUGUCAGGUGCCAUCCAGACUUGUUUACAGACUCUAACAUUUGUCAGGCUCCAUCCUGACUUUUUUACAGACCCUAACAUUUCCCCCUUUUGUUUAAUUUAAAUAACCAGCAUAGUGGUUUUUACACAAACACCAUAAAUAAUCUGCUACAAGCAGAAGGGGAGGAUACAAAAUGCCACAAUACCAAGCCAAUUGAUGGCUCCAUGCAAGAAGCCCUUGGAAAAAUUAUACCAGCAAUGACACCAUUAGCAAAGAUACCGAGUUACAAUUUGUUGUAGAUUACAGUUUGUUGUCUCAGUCCAGGUAAAGUAGUGUCUCAAUAGAUUAACUCACAGUCCAGGUAAAUCAAAGUCCAGGUAAGUUCUGCAGGCAGCUAGCUUAAAUCACAGUCCAGGUAAGUGCUGCAGGCAUCUAGCUUGAUCCAAAGUCUUGUCCGGUUCUCUUCCACCUUCGUCUUCACUGGCACUGGGACGAAGGCAGGAACUCCGGAUGGCUAAAGAAAAUCCUGUAGUAUUCCAGCAGACACUAAGAAAACAAUCUUCUGAACAAUUUAGUACAUUAUCUCAAGGUUUUUUACAUUUGAAAUAAGCCUUAAUAGUGCUCAUUACUCAUUAGCUUCCAGGUGUGGGAGAACCACUGUAGUUACCGGCCUUGGAAAUAAUCAAACUUCAGGGACACGGGCCAUCUUCCAUUUGCAGCAUCUCUGACAGCCCCAGAUGGCCCCAGAGAGAGUCCGGGGAGUGUCCCGGGCAGAGGCCCGGGGAGAGUCCCAGGGAGCGUCCCGGACUCAAACUGUCACUGGGCACAGGGAACAAGAGCCUGAGAGACUGUGCCUCCAGGUCAGGUUUGGAUUUGGGCUCUCGAAAUGGCAUCCCACUCCCCAGGCAGGGGGUAGGGAAGAGCCGGCUGCUGCUGUUUGGAAAGUCCUUGCUGCGCCAUGACCGGCUCACGCAUGUGGCAGUGGCCGCCGCUGCCGAUUGAUGUACCCUCCCGUAAUGAAAAGUAUUUAGUAGUAGCCUUUUGCAAUUUCUUUCUUGAUAAUCUUUCCUCCUCUGAACUUUUUUAUUCUUUCUGAUUAGAGUUCCUGGGAUUCUAUCAACACAUGCCCUAACUAUUCUUGGUUCCAUUGGGGUGCCUCUUUCCCUUAGUAAUUUACUUCUCACCCCUUCCAUAUUUUCAUCAUAAAGACAAUACAAUACACUGAGACAAAACAAGACACAAACAUACUGUAUCAAUCUUCUCCAUUUUCUCGAAAUGGCCAUUUUUCCUCUUGCCCUAUCUGCCUAGGGACAAGCAGAUUUGCUCCUGUCCUAUCUAUGGAUGGGCAGCUUUUUUUCAUCACUUACCCCCGAGUGUCCCGGGGCUCCCCAUACGGGCCACCAUCUGCCGCAGUCCGGCUGCAGCAAAAUAACCGGGGGGCGAUGAGCAACUUGUGUAGAUUGAUACAGCUGGAGUGGGAGCCGUUUAUUGUAGGACAGGAGUAGUAUAUACAUUCCACACAGCUUAUCUUAAUUAGCAUAAACUAGAUACAGCAGUCAACCAAUAAGGAAUCUUCACACUUAAUGGCUCCCUGGCGUUACUUCACAAACCACUCCCUCUGGCAAAAUGCCAGGCACCAUCCAGACUUGUUUAUAGACUCUAACAUUUGUCAGGUGCCAUCCUGACUCGUUUACAGACCCUAACAUGUGUGUGUGUGUGUGUGUGUGUGUGUGUAUAUGUAUAUAUAUAUAUAUAUAUAUAUAUAUAUAUAUAUAUAUGAUGCAGAUAUUUAAAAUUCAAGAAACUAGGUGGAAAAAUAUUCCAAAAAUUAAUUUUCUAGACUGAUGAACAUAAAUUUUAAAAAAUAUUCUCAGCUUCAAAUUAUUAUAAAACAAUGGAAAGAUUUCUUUUCUAGAAUCAAACCACACUGCAGAUUUAACAUUUACAAUAAUUUGUCUUUUUAAAAUUAUAACAAAAGUAAAACAAUGUGGUUAAACCUGAAGUCUAAUUGCAAAAUCGACAGUUCAAUUAUUUUCUUAAGAAGGUACUCAAGGCUUGUCAGUGACUCAAACUAAUUUGUUACAAGAAGAAUGAAUUUCAAAUUUCAAAAGGCUUAGUGCAGUGGAAAAGCUCUGUAUUUUACUGAAAAUAAAGAAAUUGGCAUGCAGUAAUCAUAUUAUUCUUGUCAAAACCAGGUUAACUAAACAGUUAAUGAAACCAUCCCCUGGUGAGUGGAAUGGUUGCUAGAGGCCUCCCCAUGGGUAAGAGGAGACACUGAACAAGAAGGAAGCCAGUGGAUCUCUCAGAGCAAUGAAAUUCUACCUGUCUCAGAACCCACUUAUGAUGGAACAGACCAUGUUCAGGUACACUCUGUUUACACAGUUUUAUAUAUUUUGUUAUUGCUACUAAAUUAGAAUAAGAUUUUAAAAUGUGCUUAGUAUGAAAAAUAAGAAAGCUAUCUUUGAAAACUAAAAGAAAGUGAGCAUGGAGUUGGGUGAGAAUGUACUUUUUCCUUCACAAUGAGGGGCUUUUGAGAGCAGGGAAGAAGAUAUGUCUCAUCCUCUCACUGUCUGAAGGCUCAACACGCACAAAAGCCAGAAGUGGGAUGGGGGAACUCCCAGUGUGUGUCUUUGGUGAUUUAUUCAGAAAGAAUUUUUAAAGAACUAUUAAGUGCCACACGAUAGAUGCUAUCAGUGGAAAGAAAAAAAAAUGCAUCUCCACUCUUAAGAAUAUCAGUGAAAAAUAAAUACAUGGACUAUAAAUAACACCUGUAGACUGUAGUGCAGUACCUUAAAUUUGGGGUCAGACAGACUUGGACUCUCAAACACUGACAUUGAAUUGUGAUCCCUAAUAGCUACCCAGCAUUCACACACCACUACAAGUUAAGGGAUCAUAAUGGAGUAAAUAAGAUGGUGUAAUGAUCCCCUGCCCAUCCCUGUUUAUCCAUACCCUAUGAUCAAUUGGUUGAUUCCUCUGUUAGUGAAUUUGCAAUCCAGAGGUGGCUUCUAUUAGCAUUACUCUAGUUUACAGUUUAGACUGAUACCACGUUUAACCCUUCUGACUUAAAAAUACAUGAACUUAGAAAGAUGAGUGAAACAAUGUGCCUGACUGUGAUAGCCCCAUGUAUGCUCAUGGUUAGUUGUUCUGAAAAUGGAAAAUGCAUUGCAAAGAACAUAGAAGCAAUUUAAAUCAAAGGUAGAGAAACCAGGUCAUGUCUCAAUCACAAGAGGGUGGUCUGUUUCCAUUUAUGCUGCACUUGUGGUGUGUGUAGGGUGCAGGGCAGUUGAGUUUGCCAGGCUGCCAUGCAGCCAUCUCUACAACCUGGUGAGGCUCAGACUCGCUUCUGUGCUGGAGCCAGGCCCAGGCUCUCAUUCCUACUACUCCUGACACCUCCUGACGUGCCUGUCUUCACACAGCUCUUCUGGCAGACUGAGCAGCUGCAGAUACUGGCGCUGAGUCCAUCAGAAGGUGCGGGCUGCCAAAGCACAGUUACAGGGAGGAGAGAGGCAGGGCAACCUCUGGCUGGCCUCUGACCUUUUCUGUGCUGAGCUCUAUUCCAGAGCCAGUGACCUGACAGAGCAGCGGCCCAGGCAACCAUCUUCUCCUCAUGUGAUCUCAUGAACCAGAGAUGCUUUUCCUCUACUCCCAACUCCCUUAAAAAAUCCUGACGUAUUUCUGAGCUUAAUUUGGCAAACAUUUGUGUCUGGGGAUGCGGGGGGCCCCGGACCCAGCACUUGCAGCUCUUCACCCAGGUACCUGUCCGUGUGCUGUCUAGUCAAGCUGCAGCUCUUGAAGGUUGUUUCCCAUCCCCUGGAUUAUUCCUCCUCCAUCCUAAGAAACUCAAAUAAAUCAUCAGCCAAGAGGAGAUGGGAAGUUCAUAAUAAGAGAGCAGAAAAGAGUGAAAGGAAGUCUUUAAGCAUCACCCUGCCUCCAGAAAAGGAGGAGGAAUUGGAAGAUUUGAACUGCAAGUUAGAUUUAGAAACUUUUGCCCUUCAGUUUCUUUCCAAAUAAAAUGUGAUAAUCUCCAAAAGACCUUUUAUUGAAGUCAUAAUAACUAGGCUUUCUAUAACUAUGUCAUGAAUUAAUGAAAGAUUAAAUGUUUAAUUUGCUUUUAAAUCAUCAUUAGGUUUAUUAAUAUUAAAAUUACUCUGCUCAUGAAUACCUUUUAGAUGGUUUGCUGUGACACUGUGAACUAAGGGGAAAAAUGUUAUUUGCUAAUUACUUUAGAUGACAAUUCAAUAGAUCCUCACUUUUGUUUAAAAACAGAUAAAAUAAAACCAAGAAGAUGUUCAUGGGACUACACCAGCAUUUUGGAAACCUGAAGACAGAGGUGAGUGCAACUGGCCCCGUGGAACAACUCAUGAGAAGUCUGUGGGUUUCAUAGUAACUAUCAAUCCUGCUCUCUAGAAAAGCUGUGCCACCAACAGACAUGGCACAAGGAACCAGAGAAUGAGAAGCAAAGUUUCCUGAACAGCCCUCUGGGAGGAAACCCAUAGAUCACCCAUUGCUUUUAUUUAAAAAAAAAAUUUUUGGGGGGGAGUAAGGGUACCAGGGAUUGAACUCAGGGUCACUGAACCACUGAGCCACAUCCCAGCCCUUUUUUGUAUUUUAUUUAGAGACAGGAUCUCACUGAGUUGCUUAGCAUCUCACUUUUGCUGAGGCUGGCUUUGAACUCAGGAUCCUUUUGCCUCAACCUCCUGAGCUGAUGGGAUUACAGGAAUAUGUCACCAUGCCCAUAAUCACUCAUUGCUUUUAACCUUCUCUCAAGCCAUCCAAUGAUUAACAAAUAUUUUUCUGCAGCAAAGAGUUCCCAGGCACUGCAAAGCUGGCACAUCAAAGGGCCAGGGAUUCCAAUCUGCUCACCAUCACUACUUCCUAAUCACAUCACAUCACUACCUACCUAAUCACCAACUUGAAAUCCUGGGUCUCACCAGACACCCCUGAGCAUCUUCCCCUCUUGGUCUCCACACACCGCAGUCAGCACAUUUGCUUCCAAAUGCUUCACCUUUCUCCAAAGCCACCAAGAAGGGAAUCCAACUGCCUUGCGACUGCCAGCCUGUCUUCUUGAUCAUCUGUCCUCUACCCUCUGCCCUGUACUCUUUGUAGAAAGCAGAUCUGGUUGUGCUCUUCACUUGCUUGAAACUAACUUUAAAUCAGAGCUCAGACACCUGCAGCCUGAGAGCAUCCUGUCCUGCAGGGAGUCCCAGACCUGCACUGAGAACCCCUUGGUGAGCCUUCAGAUAUGUCCUUUCCUAAACUCAUUCUAAGGCCAAUAAAUGUGGAUGUCUGGGGGCGAGAUCCAGGCACUAAGAACUUCCCAGGUGACUCUAGGGACAGCCAAGAUUCCACAGUUCUGUUCGCUGGUCAGAUGACUGAAAAAUGAGCACAAGUGUGGGAAAGUGUCUCUCCUCAGCAUGUGGCCUUUGUUUUCCUCUUCCACCACCAUCCACUGCCACCAGAAAUCCAUGCACAUCAUUGAAACAUUGAUUAUUAAUUUUCUCAUGUUUCAAAAGAUAUCAGAUGCCAAAGAUCCAAUUGCCCAUAACUCACAUUGAUAACACACUUACAUUGUCCAUACUAGCCUGCUUUUAUUAAGUUUUUAGUUAUUUCUCAUAAACCUACCUUGAAAAUUCAAGUGUAACAACUUUCAUGGAAGUAUAUGCUUUCCCCUGCCUCCUUUCACCUUUAGGAGUUCUUAUUCUCUCACUUUCUUUGAAGUUUUAUUGCAGCUGUUAGUAUUCCUAACAUUAUAUGUGUAUGUGUAUGUGUUUGUGUGUGUGUGUGUACAAAUGCAUAUAAAUGUAUAACAUUUUAGUGAUCCUUUAAUUUAACAAAAAUAUUCUGUUGAAUGUAUCUGCAUUCUGUGUAGUCUGGGAAGAGAUUAAGGAGAGAGGGAAUGGGAGAGAGAUUAGUUUUGAUGUGUUGUUUCAUAUUAUGGGAGCAGACCAUCUGAAAUCCAUGGCACUUGUGAGCAGGCUGGAAAUUUAGGAAAAAGUAGAUGCUGCAAUCUCGAGUCAAUUCCAUAAGUUAGCAGGUUGAAAACUCAGGUGAGUCUUCUAUGUUUCAGCCUUGAGAAUAAUCCUUUCUGCUUUAGGAACCUCAGUUCUUGCUCUUCAGGUUGUCAACUGAUUAGAUGAGGCCCACCUACACUAUAAAGUGUGGCCUAUGUUACUCAAAGUCAAUGAUAAUCACAGCUAAGAAGUAUUUUUCCACAUCUAGACUGAUGCUUAACCAAACAACUGGGGACCAUAACCUUGCCAGCUGGACACAUAAAAAUAGCCAUCAAAGAGUGGUGGUCCUUAAACUCACCCACUGUGCUCACUGGUUUUGACUAGAGUCAGCCUGUGGAUGUACCUGGUUGCCUUGCUCACUCUCUUGCUUAUGCACUUUUGAGAGGUCUCCAGGUUUUUGCUGCUCUGAACCUCAUUGCUACGAGCUUCAGGCACAGGCCUCCCUUGUGUGGGAUUGUCCCUGGUAUAUGUGCUGGGAAUGUGGCUGCUGGUCACAGGGCAUAUGAGAGGUCAGCCCAGGGAUCACACCCAGCUCUCUUCCUAGAAGCAGCAACAGUUGCUACAAGUGUCGAUCACAUGUGAGAUGCCCUUGGUCUAGUCUCCUUGGAGGUGUCCAGGCACUUUCUCACGGUCUCUUAGCUGUUGGUAAUAAAACCUUCAGAAGCUAUUUCAUUAUGAGGUCUAUAUUUAUUGUUAUUGAUAAUGUUACAUUCCUUUUCUGUGUUUGAUAGUCAUUUGUAUUCCUUUGUAAAAUUUAUGGUCAUAUAUUUUGGUCAUUUUUAAAUAGAUUAAUUAUAUUUUUCUUACCAAUUUGUCGGUUAUCUUUACAUAUUUUUAAUUUUCAAGUGUGUUAAUUAUAUUGAAACUCUAUUAUAUUGAAAAUAUAUUCUUAAAUUUCUAAAAUUUUUAGCUUAAGACAUCAUUUUUCACCUGGAUAAUCAAGCAUUGAUUACAUUAUUCUUGUAUCCAUUAUUUACAAAUGUAAAUGACAGUGUGUCUCUUAGUUGCUUUGGGUAUAUGGGAAAAAUUAAUCCUUGUGAAAAUAUUAUUAACAAUCACACAAAAUUGAGUACUACUUAAGUCAAACUUCAGCAAUAUGGUAAAAACUACUUAUCUUUACAUUCAAAGAAAAAUGCAUGAACUUCCUAUAACAAUAUGGGCAUAUAAUUUAAAAAACUCAUACUCACUUUACAUUAUUCUGUAGCUAGUAACAUCAUGAGAUGCUUUAAAGUCAGAAAUAUUGUACUAUUUAUAAAUACUCUGAAUAGGAAAGGAAUUAGCUGUAAAUUUUAUUCUCAAAAUUGAUCAAUAAGGAGGAAAAUACUGGUUAAGCAGACAAGAAUGUACCAAAACCAGGGUAUUACUCAUAUAUACAGAAGAUAUGAACAGUAUAGAUUUAUUUCUAGUUGAUUCAAUCCAAUUUACACAUUUAAAAUACAAAAUUACAUUUCAAUCUGUCAAGAAGCUGACCACAUUUAGCAUCAGUAGAGGAACUUGACUUGAGCUUCUGAUCAUGACCUCAAUAUCCUGGAAUAGGAAAAGGAAUUUCAUGGAAUCUAGAUGCAUUUAUCAACACCAAUUAAUAAAAAUUAAUUCUGAAAAGUAAUUCCUGAAUUUCAUCUAUUCACAAAUGAGUCAAAGGCAUUAGGACCUUAACACUUGGUAUUACUUGAUGUUGUGAACUACUCUCCUACAGUGGUUUGUUUUCAUCUCCUCCAAGGAUUGUUGCAGUUGCUGAACUAAAUGAAGUAGGGUGGCUGAGUCUGUCUGCAGAACUUUGGUGUUGCGGUCUCCAUUCUGAUUUGGGUGUAGUUUUAUAGUCACUGCUGGCUUAAUCUGUUGCCUGAGACUUCUGCUUGCCAGCUGUACAUCUAGUCACCACUCAAGGCUGUGGUAACUGGGAAGGCUGGGUGCCAAUUCACCCAGAAUAGUCCUGAUCUCUUUUCUGUUGUCCAGGUAAAGCUGAAGCAAUAAUUUGUUCAAUUCUUCAGAGAAUCCCAGAACAAA
rnacentral:lncRNA from 1 species